rnacentral:sRNA from 1 species
UAUUCUGCCCCAUGGGGAAGGAUGAGAAGCUUCGACUAAGGUUCGACUCGAGCGCCAGCGAGAGAACGUUGCCGCAGGCAACGGCCCGAAGGGCGAGGCGCUUUAGCGCCGAGUAAUCCUUCCCCUACCACCA